rnacentral:rRNA from 1 species
UACGUAGGGGGCAAGCGUUGUCCGGAAUCAUUGGGCGUAAAGAGCGUGUAGGCGGCUUGGCAAGUCUCGCGUGAAAUCCUGCGGCUCAACCGCAGACCUGCGUGGGAUACUGCCUGGCUAGAAUCCGGAAGAGGAGAGCGGAAUUCCUGGUGUAGCGGUGGAAUGCGCAGAUAUCAGGAAGAACACCCGUGGCGAAGGCGGCUCUCUGGGCCAUUACUGACGCUGUGGAGCGAAAGCGUGGGGAGCGAACAGG